GUAGGGAAUAUUGGGCAAUGGUCGGAAGACUGACCCAGCCAUGCCGCGUGCAGGAAGACGGCCCUCUGGGUUGUAAACUGCUUUUAUCUGGGAAGAAAAAGGCCAUGCGUGGCAAAUUGCCGGUACCAGAUGAAUAAGCACCGGCUAACUCCGUGCCAGCAGCCGCGGUAAUACGGCGGGUGCGAGCGUUGUCCGGAUUUAUUGGGUUUAAAGGGUGCGUAGGCGGCUGAUUAAGUCAGCGGUGAAAGACUUCGGCUUAACCGGAGCAGUGCGGUUGAUACUGGUUGGCUUGAGUGUCGGAGGGGUACAUGGAAUUGAUGGUGUAGCGGUGAAAUGCAUAGAUACCAUCAGGAACACCGAUAGCGAAGGCAUUGUACUGGCCGACAACUGACGCUGAUGCACGAAAGUGUGGGGAUCGAACAGGAUUAGAUACCCUUGUAGUCC
rnacentral:rRNA from 1 species